rnacentral:ncRNA from 2 species
CGAAGCGGGUACCCUUCCUGCGGGGAGGGUUCAAAAGGGAAGAGAGGUAAUUCCUCCGCAGCCCCCGCUACUGUCCGGAGCGGGACGCAUUCACUGCGCAAGCGGGAAGGGUGCGUCCGGAAAAGCGCUCCGGGAGCCGUCGGAAAAGCGCCUUGCGGCGACGGCAAAGCCAGGAGACCUGCCCCUUC